UGAACGCUCGAUCCGAUCGGGUAGUAGGUAAGCGAUGGGGUGACGCAGGAAGGUAGUCCAGCCCAGGCGAUGGUUGUCCUGGGGUAAGCAUGUAGGGCGGAACGUAGGUAAAUCCGCGUUCUAUUCAGCCUGAGAUGUGAUGCCGAGCCGAUUGUGGUGAAGUGGAUGAUCCUAUGCUGCCGAGAAAAGCCUCUAGUGAGUGUUGUGGCGGCCCGUACCCUAAACCGACUCAGGUGGUCAGGUAGAGAAUACCAAGGCGAUCGGGUGAACUGUGGUUAAGGAACUCGGCAAAUUGCCCCCGUAACUUCGGGAGAAGGGGGACCUCUGCUGGUGAUGGGCUUUACGUUCUGAGCUGGUGGGGGUCGCAGUGGCCAGGGGGAAGCGACUGUUUACUAAAAACACAGGUCCGUGCGAAGUCGUAAGACGAUGUAUACGGACUGACGCCUGCCCGGUGCCGGAACGUCAAGGGGACCGCUUAGCCAACGCGAGUUGGCGAAGGUGAGAACUUAAGCGCCGGUAAACGGCGGUGGUAACUAUAACCAUCCUAAGGUAGCGAAAUUCCUUGUCGGGUAAGUUCCGACCUGCACGAAUGGCGUAACGACUUCCCCGCUGUCUCAACCACAGACCCGGCGAAAUUGCACUACGAGUAAAGAUGCUCGUUUCGCGCAGCAGGACGGAAAGACCCCGGGACCUUCACUACAGCUUGACAUUGGCGUUUGGAACGUCUUGUGUAGGAUAGGUGGGAACUGGGAAGCUGUCACGCUAGUGAUGGUGGAGUCAUUGGUGAAAUACCACUCUGGUCGUUUUGAACGUCUAACUCUGGUCCGUGAUCCGGAUCGGGGACAGUGUCUGGUGGGUAGUUUAACUGGGGCGGUUGCCUCCUAAAGAGUAACGGAGGCGCCCAAAGGUUCCCUCAGCCUGGUUGGCAAUCAGGUGUUGAGUGUAAGUGCACAAGGGAGCUUGACUGUGAGACUGACAGGUCGAGCAGGAGCGAAAGCUGGGACUAGUGAUCCGGCAUCGGCGUGUGGAAGCGGUGUCGCUCAACGGCUAAAAGGUACCCCGGGGAUAACAGGCUGAUCUUCCCCAAGAGUCCAUAUCGACGGGAUGGUUUGGCACCUCGAUGUCGGCUCGUCGCAUCCUGGGGCUGGAGUAGUCCCAAGGGUUGGGCUGUUCGCCCAUUAAAGCGGUACGCGAGCUGGGUUUAGAACGUCGCGAGACAGUUCGGUCCCUAUCCGCUGCGCGCGCAGGAGACUUGAAGGGGGCUGUCCCUAGUACGAGAGGACCGGGACGGACGAACCUCUGGUGUGCCAGUUGUACCGCCAGGUGCACGGCUGGUUGGCUACGUUCGGAAGGGAUAACCGCUGAAAGCAUCUAAGCGGGAAGCUCGCCUUGAGAUGAGGUCUCCCACCCCGUGAGGGGGUAAGGCUCCCGGUAGAUCACCGGGUUGAUAGGCCGGAGGUGGAAGCACGGUAACGUGUGGAGCUGACCGGUACUAAUAGGCCGAGGACUUGAUCAA
rnacentral:rRNA from 1 species